rnacentral:rRNA from 1 species
GACGAACGCUGGCGGCGUGCUUAACACAUGCAAGUCGAACGGUAAGGCCAGGGCUUGCCCUGGGGAUCAGUGGCGAACGGGUGAGUAACACGUGACCAACCUGCCCUUGGCUCUGGGAUAACCCCGGGAAACCGGAGCUAAUACCGGAUACGAGUUCGUGCGGCAUCACACGAACUGGAAAGUUUUUCGGCCAAGGGUGGGGUCGCGGCCUAUCAGCUAGCUGGGGGGGUAACGGCCCACCAAGGCGGCGACGGGUAGCAGGCCUGAGAGGGCGACCGGCCACACUGGGACUGAGACACGGCCCAGGCUCAUACGGGAGGCAGCAGUGGGGAAUAUUGCGCAAUGGGCGAAAGCCUGACGCAGCGACGCCGCGUGAGGGACGACGGCCUUCGGGUUGUAAACCUCUUUCAGCAGGGAAGAAGCGAAAGUGACGGUACCUGCAGAAGAAGCACCGGCUAACUACGUGCCAGCAGCCGCGGUAACAC